UGAGGAAUAUUGCACAAUGGGGGAAACCCUGAUGCAGCAACGCCGCGUGGAGGAUGACGCAUUUCGGUGUGUAAACUCCUUUUAUGAGUCAAGAAAAUGACGGUAGCUCAUGAAUAAGCACCGGCUAACUCCGUGCCAGCAGCCGCGGUAAUACGGAGGGUGCAAGCGUUACUCGGAAUCACUGGGCGUAAAGGACACGUAGGCGGGUUGGUAAGUCAGAUGUGAAAUCCUACAGCUUAACUGUAGAACUGCAUUUGAAACUACUGACCUAGAGUAUGGGAGGGGGAGAUGGAAUUAGUGGUGUAGGGGUAAAAUCCGUAGAUAUCACUAGGAAUACCCAAAGCGAAGGCGAUCUCCUGGAACAUUACUGACGCUAAGGUGUGAAAGCGUGGGGAGCAAACG
rnacentral:rRNA from 1 species